UAAAGACGCAAACAAGAGUUUCGCCACUAAGGGGCUGUAGACAGUUUUCGCGCACGGAAUCCAGUUGAACCAAUUGAGGGGUUGUGCGUUUGUGCGAAACGCCUGAGAUUCAGCUGUUUCUAGUUUCAAAUAAUUGUAUAACUAUGAAUAAAUCCGUGAUGUAUUGAAUA